rnacentral:rRNA from 1 species
GACGAACGCUGGCGGCGUGCCUAAUACACGCAAGUCGAGCGCAGGAAAUCGACGGAACCCUUCGGGGGGAAGUCGACGGAAUGAGCGGCGGACGGGUGAGUAACACGUAAAGAACCUGCCCUCAGGUCUGGGAUAACCACGAGAAAUCGGGGCUAAUACCGGAUGGGUCAUCGGACCGCAUGGUCCGAGGAUGAAAGGCGCUUCGGCGUCGCCUGGGGAUGGCCUUGCGGUGCAUUAGCUAGUUGGUGGGGUAAUGGCCCACCAAGGCGACGAUGCAUAGCCGAGCUGAGAGGGUGAUCGGCCACACUGGGACUGGGACACGGCCCAGACUCCUACGGGAGGCAGCAGUAGGGAAUCUUCCACAAUGGACGAAAGUCUGAUGGAGCAACGCCGCGUGAACGAUGAAGGCCUUCGGGUCGUAAAGUUCUGUUGUAAGGGAAGAACAAGUGCCGCAGGCAAUGGCGGCACCUUGACGGUACCUUGCGAGAAAGCCACGGCUAACUACGUGCCAGCCGCCGCAGUAAGAC